rnacentral:misc_RNA from 1 species
CACAAAAAAUAUGAAGGCUGUACGCAGCUGAAUUAUUUUUCACCCAUGUCUUUUGCGCACUUGUUGUUUCCUGGGCGGGUUCGCCCGCCACCAGGACCACACCAUAAACCUUUUUUAUGCAGUUGCAAUCAGCGUCAGUAAAACAAGUAAUUAAUUUA